rnacentral:antisense_RNA from 1 species
GCCCGGGUCGGGGCCCCAUGUUCAGAGCCCUGCCACCCCAGCUUGAGCGUGGUCUUUGGAGCGUUGCCCUGUGAAAAGGGGUGACUUUGCCAUGCUCCUUCCCAGUCUACCUCCUGUUAGUUACAGUUUCUCAUUCCUCUUGAGUAGCAGGCCCUGUUUCUCCACCUGAUCCCUGCAAAUAAACCGUCCCCAAAAAUCAAAAUGAGUUCCACCUGGAACUUUGUAGGAUUGGUCCUAAGAAGAUCCCGCUGAAUCUCUUCACCACUUCCUAGCAGAGUACAGUAAAACCGGGGACUAAGCAAAGUGGCUGACAUGUAGUAAGUGCUCAAGAAAUGGAUGUUGACUAGAUGCUUCCUCUCAUCUUUGCCUGUCUGAACUCUCAAGCACCGGAUGCAAGUAGACUGAGAGCCUCCGCCAACCAGGUCUCGCUCUGUCACCCAGGCUGGAGUGCGCUGGCAUAAUCAUGGUUCACUGCAACCUUGAACUCCUGGGCUUGAGAGAUCUAUAUGAAUUUUAAGGCACAGUCUCACUCUCUUACCCAAUCUGGAGUGCAGUGGUGUGAUCUCGGCUCACUGCAACCUCUGCCUCAUGGGUUCAAGCAAUUCUCCUGCCUCAGCCUCCCAAGUAGCUGGGAUUACAGGCUGGAGUGCAGUGGUGCAAUCUCGGCUCACUACAACCUCCGCCUCCUGGAUUCAAGUGAUUCUUCUGCCUCAGUCUCUUGAAUAGCUGGGAUUACAGGU